rnacentral:sRNA from 2 species
GCCUAGCCCCGAUAGAAACGAUAUCCUUUUGUGGCCCCGAUAGCUAUCGGGGCCACAAAAGAUAAAGUGAAUAGCGGGACAAUUG